rnacentral:sRNA from 1 species
UGCCUGUUUGUUUUCUAAGGAGAGAAGGGGAUUGGCUCUGGAUGAGGAGUGAGGUGAGGAGGAACUGGGAGGAAAAAUGUCCUAAGUGUCAAAGGUCGGAGGCCUUCCAGGGGACCUCCACUCACCGUUCUAUCAUUACUUAUCUGGGCGGGUAAGAUGCCACAUCCGCUUGACUUUUCUCCCUGAUUUGUAUUGUGGGUUUGACCCCUGGGCAGCAGGUUUUCUUUAGACUAUAACAGCAUUUGAUUGACAUGGAGGCAGAUGGAAAUCUGUUGGGGACUUUCAGCAGAGCCCAUGAACCCAUCUCUGCGCAACUGGCAGGAUUUCCCACGAGGUUGUAAAUCAAGGGACCUGUGGAGAUGUAGCGUCUCCACAAAGGUAUCCUGAGUCCUCCGUGCACUCCCCUCAAAGGCAGCACAAGUCUAAACCCAUCUUUGCCGUGCUGAAGUUGUACCAAAGAAGUCUGGUGUCCUCGUACAAGCCUCCAGAUGACAGAACCCUUGAAUAAAGAAAGAAGCCACCUCUCUGCGAUUAGCAGGAAGAAACUGAUGAUAUCAGCAAGACACUGCCUGCUGCCCACAUUCUGAACCGUAUCUUUGUAAAUGAAAUGCCCAUCCAUUGUUUGCUGCUUGUUUGCUUCUUUGACUGUCCAUCAGGGCCUUGAAUACAUCCAGCUUUUCGACCUCCCGUUCGGCUCACACGGGACCAUCGAAGCACUAAGUCUCUGGGUGAACACACACACAAGUGCGCGCCCUCUGUCCCACAGCCACACUCUGAGGGGAGUGUGAGUGGACCUUGCCUUUUGCAGGACUGUGGACUCCGAAGUGGGGCUUCCCCUUUUCAUACCAGCAAAAUAGGAAGCAGCUAAAUUUUCUCCCAAGAUGAUCUUUAAAGAGCAGAGGGAACAUCCAACAUCUCCCAGGAGGUGUUUAUCCUCCGUGCCGUGCUUCAGCUUGGGGCAUAGUCUGUCUGUCUCCUCACCCUUAAGGACAACACACAUAGACUUUUAAAGGUGAAGUCUUGAUUUAUUGUGACUUGAAUUGCACACUUGACAAUUCUAGCAGGUUCCUGGGACUUGAGGCAUGUUUGUCAUGUUUUGAUGGCCCGGGCCAUUUCCAUCUUGGCUGAAGAGCUGAGAGUGGAAUUUUAACUAUGAAUUUCCUUGUGUUUAAUAAGCUAAGGUCAAAAGGUCAUAGUCUGUUUGCCGAUAUGCAUGAACAGCUUCCAACUGGACUUACUCAUGUGCAUCUGAGUUCAGCUAAAACACCCCGACUCUUAGGCGCUAUUAAAUAAUGUGCCUGAAAACAAAACAAGGCAAACCAACCUUUCUGAGGUGCGUAUAGAACAUAGAAGAAUGAAAAGGCAUGAAUAAAAUAACCAAAACUGUU